GUCCAUAUGAAGUUGUAUAUGGUUUAGCCUGCCCACUGAGAUAUUUAAAGGCCGCAGUAUUCUAACUGUGCAAAGGUAGCAUAAUAAUUUGUUUUUUAAUUGGAAGCUUGAAUGAAUGGUUGGACGAAGGAAAAUCUGUUUCUAAUUUAGAUUUAAAACUUUACUUUUAAGUUAAAAGGCUUAAAUAUUUUUAAAAGACGAUAAGACCCUAUAAAACUUUAUAAAAAUUUUUUAUUUGUUUUUUUUUUAUGUGCUAUAAAUCAAAAAUAUUAGUUUUUAUUGUGUUGGGGAGACAGGAAUAAAAAUGAUAUUGAACUGUUCUUAUUUUAAGACAAAGAUGAUUGGAGAUAGAAAAGAUCUUCUACUUAGAGAUUAAAAGUUAAAGUUACUUUAGGGAUAACAGCGUAAUUUUUUUAGAGAGUUCUAAUCGAAAAAAAAGUUUGCGACCUCGAUGUUGAAUUAAAAUUUCUUUUUGGUGUAGAAGUAAAAAAGUAAGUCUGUUCGACUUUUAAAUUUU
rnacentral:rRNA from 1 species